CUGAAGAGCUGGUCUCACUCCCACUGUGCCACCUCCAACAGCACAGAGUCUGUUUCCAGGCAGCAGGCAAGCAGGGCUUGAGAACUUUCCCCAGGCUACCCGCCUCCCAGCUGUGAAAGAAAAGGACUUUAGUUCUUCCCCCACCUGUGGAAUCUGCUGGCUGGAUUCAUGCCCUCCAGCAAGUUCUGGCCAGGAGGCUUCUCACCUGGUUCAAAUUGUUACAAAGUUCAGCUGGAGACUUCCUUCUCCCUGUGGCAUUUUCCCCAUACCUCUGGACACCCUCCUGAAGGAUCCCUGUGGUGCCAGGCAUGAAUGGCCUGCUUGGGGACCCAAUGAGUUCCCAGGACCCUUCCUGCUGCUUCUUCUACCCUUGUAUUUUGCUUGGCUGUCUAAAUUGACUCAGCUCCAGGAUCCCUUCGUUUGAGGUAGGAUAUGGAAUCGCAUCCACUCUGAUUUGUUGCCAGCAGUGUUCUCCAACAGCUUAAUUAUCCUCUGUGAUCCACACUAAAGUAUUUUGAAGAAUAACAAAGCUCUCCAAGGGUCUUAAUACAGUUCUGGAGGUCAGUAAGUCCAAUAUCAAGGUGCCAGCAUCAGGCAUUAUGGCCAGCACACUUCCUGCGAAUUUGUACCACCACCCCUUAUCUCAUCUAUGCUUCUGCUCACAGCACUGCACUGGAGCCAGGGGAUGGAUACCUGGCACUUGUAUGUCCUAUGAAGAAAGAGAGGAGGAUACAUUGCUUCCCUAUGUAUCCUUAAGGGAUAGACCAGAGGAAAAGUUAAGUAAUAGAUAAACAAUCAAUAAUACCUAAUUGGUUUCCCAAUCAAUUAGCACUUACUGUGUUGGAUUUGUUCACUUUCAGCCAUAGUUACACCUUGAAUUUCUGUAUUUCCAAAGUGGGCUCUUUUUUUUCUAAGGAAUUUCCUCAAUUUUUUCGUGUAAGUAGGCUUCUGAGGAGUCUAUUUCACUGAUUUUUGUGAUAUAUUUAAUCAUUCCAGGGCUACAAAAUUUAAGCUGAAUUUAAAUUAUUCAUAAUAUAACAAUCUCUCUUCCUCUGUCUCUCUUUCUUUCUAUAUCUUUCAUUACAUAUAUGUAAUAAAAUAUUUUCAUUAUAUAUCUGUAUAUCUUUUAUAGAAAUCUUUUCAUUAUAUAUUUCAUAUAUAUUCAUGUAUCUUUCAUACAUU
rnacentral:lncRNA from 10 species